CUACGGGUGGCUGCAGCCGGGAAUAUUGCGCAAUGGGGGAAACCCUGACGCAGCGACGCCGCGUGCGGGAUGAAGGUCUUCGGAUUGUAAACCGCUGUGGAGAGGGAAGAUAAUGACGGUACCUCCCUAGAAAGCACCUGCUAACUACGUGCCAGAAGCCUCGGUGAUACGUAGGGUGCAAGCAUUAUCCGGAUUUACUGGGCGUAAAGAGUAUCGUAGGCGGUCUUUAAAGUGAUUGGUGAAAUCCUUGGGCUCAACCCAAGAACUGCCAGUCAUACUCAGAGACUAGAGUAACUUCGGGAAGGUUGGAAUUUUCGGUGUAGGGGUGAAAUCCGUUGAUAUCGAAAAGAACACCAAGGGCGAAGGCAGACCUUUAGGAGUUUACUGACGCUGAUGAACGAAAGCUUGGGGAGCAAACAGGAUUAGAUACCCUGGUAGUC
rnacentral:rRNA from 1 species